rnacentral:pre_miRNA from 1 species
CACCUCCACAGGUUGGCCGGCCCCCAGGCUGGGCUGAGCGAGUAUCUCUUCAAAAAGCUCAUCCUCAAGUGGACUAGGAGC